UCAUAUCAGUCAAGUUCAGAGUAAGCUCGAGGUCCAUUUAGCUGGGUCUUAUUGAAGGCAUUGUUUUUAGGUGAACUCGGACUUUCUCCAGGGUGAAGAUCCAAGAUUUUCGAUCGAGCAACGACAACGCUUAUGCAUUGUUUCCUUCUUGGGGGCGUUGCUUUUGGAGAACCUCAUUUGUAUUUCGGGUGUUGUCUUCGGUGGUUGGUAGAGUGCUACUGAUGCUAGUGAUACAUCACCGUGGCAGGGUCUUUUUUUCUGUUCCUUCUAUUUUCCUUUUUGGCUGUGUGUAUUCUUGAUGCCUUUGAACAUCUUGUUGGUAUAGAGGCCGGGUGUAAUUGGUAUCUUCGUGA